GGGAUAACACUUGGAAACAGGUGCUAAUACCGUAUAACACUAUUUUCCGCAUGGAAGAAAGUUGAAAGGCGCUUUUGCGUCACUGAUGGAUGGACCCGCGGUGCAUUAGCUAGUUGGUGAGGUAACGGCUCACCAAGGCCACGAUGCAUAGCCGACCUGAGAGGGUGAUCGGCCACACUGGGACUGAGACACGGCCCAGACUCCUACGGGAGGCAGCAGUAGGGAAUCUUCGGCAAUGGACGAAAGUCUGACCGAGCAACGCCGCGUGAGUGAAGAAGGUUUUCGGAUCGUAAAACUCUGUUGUUAGAGAAGAACAAGGAUGAGAGUAAAAUGUUCAUCCCUUGACGGUAUCUAACCAGAAAGCCACGGCUAACUACGUGCCAGCAGCCGCGGUAAUACGUAGGUGGCAAGCGUUGUCCGGAUUUAUUGGGCGUAAAGCGAGCGCAGGCGGUUUCUUAAGUCUGAUGUGAAAGCCCCCGGCUCAACCGGGGAGGGUCAUUGGAAACUGGGAGACUUGAGUGCAGAAGAGGAGAGUGGAAUUCCAUGUGUAGCGGUGAAAUGCGUAGAUAUAUGGAGGAACGCCAGUGGCGAAGGCGGCUCUCUGGUCUGUAACUGACGCUGAGGCUCGAAAGCGUGGGGAGCGAACAGGAUUAGAUACCCUGGUAGUCCACGCCGUAAACGAUGAGUGAUAAGUGUUGGAGGGUUUCCGCCCUUCAGUGCUGCAGCA
rnacentral:rRNA from 1 species